rnacentral:sRNA from 1 species
CUUGGUCAUUUAGAGGAAGUAAAAGUCGUAACAAGGUUUCCGUAGGUGAACCUGCGGAAGGAUCAUUAUCGAAUAAACUAGGUGGGUUGUUGCUGUCCCUCUCGGGGGAAUUGUGCACGCCCUACCUUUUUUGUUUUUCCACCUGUGCACACACUGUAGGUCUGGAGGGGAAGGGAGGCAACUCCCUGACGUUUCAGGUCCUAUGUCUUUACACAUACACUAUUAAAAGUAACAGAACGAUUCAAUGGGCUCUAAGCCUAUAAACUAUAUACAACUUUCAGCAACGGAUCUCUUGGCUCUCGCAUCGAUGAAGAACGCAGCGAAAUGCGAUAAGUAAUGUGAAUUGCAGAAUUCAGUGAAUCAUCGAAUCUUUGAACGCACCUUGCGCUCGUUGGUAUUCCGACGAGCAUGCCUGUUUGAGUGUCAUUAAAUUCUCAACCUCAUCGCUUUUGUGAUGAUGGCUUGGAAGUGGAGGUUUUUUGCAGGCUGAAAAGUCUGCUCCUCUCAAAUGAAUUAGUGGGUGCCCCGCGCAAACCUAUCUAUUGGUGUGAUAAUUAUCUACGCCGUGGAUCCUUAGGAUUGCUGUAAAAAGGUGUUUGCCCUGCUUCUAACCGUCUUCGGACAACUUGAACCAUUUGACCUCAAAUCAGGUAGGACUACCCGCUGAACUUAAGCAUAUCAAUAAGCGGAGGAAAAGAAACUAACAAGGAUUCCCCUAGUAACUGCGAGUGAAGCGGGAAAAGCUCAAAUUUAAAAUCUGGCAGUCUUUGAUUGUCCGAGUUGUAAUCUAGAGAAGCAUUAUCCGCGCUGGACCGUGUACAAGUCUCCUGGAAUGGAGCGUCAUAGAGGGUGAGAAUCCCGUCUUUGACACGGACUGCCAGGGCUUUGUGAUGUGCUCUCAAAGAGUCGAGUUGUUUGGGAAU